UAUAAGGUUUUAAUCCUUUUCUUUUUA
rnacentral:tRNA from 1 species